rnacentral:rRNA from 1 species
GGUGGUUUGUCGCGUUGUUCGUGAAAUCUCACGGCUUAACUGUGAGCGUGCGGGCGAUACGGGCAGACUUGAGUACUGCAGGGGAGACUGGAAUUCCUGGUGUAGCGGUGGAAUGCGCAGAUAUCAGGAGGAACACCGGUGGCGAAGGCGGGUCUCUGGGCAGUAACUGGCGCUGAGGAGCGAAAGCGUGGGGAGCGAACAGGAUUAGAUACCCUGGUAGUCCACGCCGUAAACGGUGGGUACUAGGUGUGGGUUUCCUUCCUUGGGAUCCGUGCCGUAGCUAACGCAUUAAGUACCCCGCCUGGGGAGUACGGCCGCAAGGCUAAAACUCAAAGAAAUUGACGGGGGCCCGCACAAGCGGCGGAGCAUGUGGAUUAAUUCGAUGCAACGCGAAGAACCUUACCUGGGUUUGACAUGCACAGGACGCCGGCAGAGAUGUCGGUUCCCUUGUGGCCUGUGUGCAGGUGGUGCAUGGCUGUCGUCAGCUCGUGUCGUGAGAUGUUGGGUUAAGUCCCGCAACGAGCGCAACCCUUGUCUCAUGUUGCCAGCGGGUAAUGCCGGGGACUCGUGAGAGACUGCCGGGGUCAACUCGGAGGAAGGUGGGGAUGACGUCAAGUCAUCAUGCCCCUUAUGUCCAGGGCUUCACACAUGCUACAAUGGCCGGUACAAAGGGCUGCGAUGCCGCGAGGUUAAGCGAAUCCUUUUAAAGCCGGUCUCAGUUCGGAUCGGGGUCUGCAACUCGACCCCGUGAAGUCGGAGUCGCUAGUAAU